GAGAGUGUAGCUCAGUGGUAGGGCAUGUGGUUAGCGUGCAUGAGGUCCUGGAUUCAAUCCCCAGUACCUCCA
rnacentral:tRNA from 1 species